UCACUGCAUUUUCGGUGAUGCCCUUGAUUAUAGAUACCAUUGUUUGUCUCGCUCCUCCUCCCCAGCCUACUUCCACCAGGCUCUAAUUACAUCCUUUAAUGAUUUGACCAAUUAAAGCCUGCAGUUCAACUUCUAGAGGAACGGAUGAGAAAUUAGGGGCUGGCACGCAAACUUCGAUGUGGAUGCUCUUCUUCCAAGGUUACACACCUCUAUUAAGCCAGUCGGCUAUUUGAAAAGCGGCAUAAUGGGCGAUGCUAAUAAAAUAAGCACGGGGACAUUUUCAGCGGCUCCCAAGUGAAUACACCAGAAGGACGAAAUGUGAAAAGCAAAGGGAUAUCUAUGAAACCAGGGCAUAGCAUUUUUUUUUUUUUUCUUCUAAAAGCGCAGUUGCCAGCCGCAUUUCUUAGUUAGUGUGAAAUGUAAUAAUUGCUAUGUCAGGGCUUGGAGAAGCAGAGAGCUCUCUCCCCACCCUCCUGCCUCUGCUGGGAAUGGAAACAGCCCUGCACUGCUGGUUGCCAUGGUGGUGGGGGACGGUGGUGGGGGACGAGUGCUUUGCUCUCAGAAGCAGUCUGACCCUGCGGGGGUGUGGGGGGGCUGUUUAGAGCCCAGGGAUGUUUGGGAUCCCUGCAAAGCAGUGGAGAUUCAAGCAGGAGAGACUCCCCCAGUGGUAUUUGAUUCUCUCCAGGGAUUUGUGAGAGAAGGAGGGAGAAAGAGCAUGCUGCUUCCUCUUGUUGCCACAGAAUGUGAAUUUAUCUCGGACGACCAGCGACCAGCAUCAUUUUGAAUCUCUUCAUCUCUUUCCUGCCUACAUCCUGUUUCCUCCCCUGCCCCCGCCCUCCCCCAAGCUGCUGCCGGGUUCCUAAACAACUUCUGCACGGUCUUGUACCUUUGCUGCAAAUUCCCCCAAUCCUUUUUGCCAGCUGGCUGACUCCUGCUCAUCCUCAGGUUUGACCAAAUUUGUUGAGGAUUUAUGUGACAGGGGCUGGGAGAGACAAGCCAGGAAUUCAAGAUUCUUAAAAUUUUAAAGGAAACCUAGAGCAUCCUUGAAUUCCUUUUCUGAAGAGCCCUCCAGGGAGCGGUCUGGACCUCGCCUUGACAACACCCACAAGAGGGAACUCUGUAUUCUCAGGGACACUCAUUCCAGUUUUAAGGUCUGGAUGAUUCCGUAUCUGAGCUGAAAUCUGCUUCCCUGAGUCUUCAUUCCCUCAUGCGUUAAACUGAUACAUCAAAGGUUUUUGGCACCUCUGUUGAUGGUAGCCCAAGUAGCCUUGGACAUUAAGAUGCAUUAGCUUGUUCUCUGCCCCUCCAUCCCUCCAUCCCUUGGCUGGUUUUUUCUGGGACAUGAUGUCUCUUUACCCCUUAUUUCUUAACAUACUACAAAGACCAUUUGCAAGCAUUUCCUGGGUUGGUUUAAUCUGGCAUUGAGGACAAUCGAUGGGGAAAUCUCCCCACAUGUCUCACUGCACACCCAAAGUUGUGUUAAUUGGCACUCGGGCACUGUCUGUCAUGUCUUGUUGCUUAAUUAAAUCCACAUUUGUUUUGAGUGUUCUU